rnacentral:miRNA from 1 species
CAAGCAAACCAUAUGAUCCAU